rnacentral:rRNA from 1 species
UGGGGAAUCUUCCGCAAUGGACGAAAGUCUGACGGAGCAACGCCGCGUGUAUGAUGAAGGUCUUCGGAUUGUAAAGUACUGUCAUUGGGGAAGAACGGUUUUCUUGAAGAAUAUGAGAAGACAUGACGGUACCCAAGGAGGAAGCCCCGGCUAACUACGUGCCAGCAGCCGCGGUAAUACGUAGGGGGCAAGCGUUGUCCGGGAAUUAUUGGGCGUAAAGGGCGCGUAGGCGGGCCUUUAAGUCCGGUGUGAAAGAUCAGGGCUCAACCCUGAGAGUGCAUCGGAAACUGGAGGCCUUGAGGACAGGAGAGGAAAGUGGAAUUCCACGUGUAGCGGUGAAAUGCGUAGAUAUGUGGAGGAACACCAGUGGCGAAGGCGACUUUCUGGACUGUAACUGACGCUGAGGCGCGAAAGCGUGGGGAGCAAACAGGAUUAGAUACCCUGGUAGUCACGCCGUAAACGAUGAGUGCUAGGUGUAGAGGGUAUCGA